AGUGAACGCUGGCGAUAGGCCUAACACAUGCAAGUCGAACGGCCGCACAGUAAGAGCUUGCUCUUACGGGUGGCGAGUGGCGGACGGGUGAGGAAUACAUCGGAAUCUACUUUUUCGUGGGGGAUAACGUAGGGAAACUUACGCUAAUACCGCAUACGACCUACGGGUGAAAGCAGGGGAUCUUCGGACCUUGCGCGAUUGAUUGAGCCGAUGUCGGAUUAGCUAGUUGGCGGGGUAAAGGCCCACCAAGGCGACGAUCCGUAGCUGGUCUGAGAGGAUGAUCAGCCACACUGGAACUGAGACACGGUCCAGACUCCUACGGGAGGCAGCAGUGGGGAAUAUUGGACAAUGGGCGCAAGCCUGAUCCAGCCAUACCGCGUGGGUGAAGAAGGCCUUCGGGUUGUAAAGCCCUUUUGUUGGGAAAGAAAAGCAGCAGGUUAAUACCCCGCUGUUCUGACGGUACCCAAAGAAUAAGCACCGGCUAACUUCGUG
rnacentral:rRNA from 1 species